UACAGAGGUCCCAAGCGUUGUUCGGAUUCACUGGGCGUAAAGGGUGCGUAGGUGGUCGGGUAAGUCUGAUGUGAAAUCUCCGAGCUCAACUCGGAAAUGGCAUUGGAUACUAUUCGGCUAGAGGGUUGGAGGGGGGACUGGAAUACUUGGUGUAGCAGUGAAAUGCGUAGAUAUCAAGUGGAACACCAGUGGCGAAGGCGAGUCCCUGGACAACUCCUGACACUGAGGCACGAAAGCUAGGGGAGCAAACAGG
rnacentral:rRNA from 1 species